rnacentral:rRNA from 1 species
UAAUACGUAGGUGGCAAGCGUUGUCCGGAUUUAUUGGGUUUAAAGGGUGCGUAGGCGGCCCUGUAAGUCAGUGCUGAAAUAUCCCGGCUUAACCGGGAGGGUGGCAUUGAUACUGCGGGGCUUGAGUACAGAUGAAGUCGGCGGAAUUGACGGUGUAGCGGUGAAAUGCAUAGAUAUCGUCAAGAACACCGAUAGCGAAGGCAGCUGACUAAGUUGUAACUGACGCUGAGGCACGAAAGUGUGGGGAUCAAACAGGAUUAGAUACCCUGGUAGUCCACACUGUAAACGUUGAUGACUCGCUGUUUGCGAUACACAGCAAGCGGCCAAGCGCAAGCGAUAAGUCAUCCACCUGGGGAGUACGCCGGCAACGGUG